CUACGUAGGGGGCAAGCGUUAUCCGGAAUUAUUGGGCGUAAAGAGUACGUAGGUGGUUUCCUAAGCGAGGGGUUUAAGGCAAUGGCUUAACCAUUGUUCGCCCCCCGAACUGGGUAACUUGAGUGCUGGAGGGGAAAGCGGAAUUCCUAGUGUAGCGGUGAAAUGCGUAGAUAUUAGGAGGAACACCAGUGGCGAAGGCGGCUUUCUGGACAGUAACUGACACUGAGGUACGAAAGUGUGGGGAGCAUACAGGAUUAGAUACCCUGGUAGUCCACACCGUAAACGAUGAGCACUAGGUGUUGGGCUCGCAAGAGUUCGGUGCCGCAGUUAACGCAUUAAGUGCUCCGCCUGGGGAGUACGUACGCAAGUAUGAAACUCAAAGGAAUUGACGGGG
rnacentral:rRNA from 1 species